ensembl:lncRNA
CACCUCAUUCUGCUGGUUUCCAGGAGAGUAUGCUUCUUACUAACUCAGGAGAGGCUGUUCUGGAAGCCUGCGGAGGUGAUUCAGGAGAUCAUGGUUUAAACCAAGCUCAAAUAUAUUCAUUCUGGGGCUGAAACCAAAGAUCAGCUCAUCACCUCUGCUAGGAAAAUUGCGACUUCUGGACAAAACUUCGCCAAACUUAUCUGCAUCAUUGCUAAGAACUGCACAGAUCAAAGAUGUUCCCAGGAGCUUCUGUGUGCGGUAGAGCAGAUUCAGACAGUGAGCAGCCAGCUCCGCAUCAUCUCCGGUGUAAAGGCCUCCCUGGCCAGAAGCAAGUCCUCUGAAGAGCUCCUGGUAGAAAAUGCACAGCAGCUCCUCUGUGCUGUCUCCAAGACUGUGGGGGCUGCAGAAGCCGCAAGUCUCCGGGGUUUGAGACAAGCUUCCCCAGAUCCAGACGAACUGGAAGUUGCUGCCUUCUGCAUGGAGUGGAGGAGAAAACAGCUAAGGCACAGACUUCAAGAAACCUCAAACCUGGACUGUGAUGAGCUGGGCCUGCGAAAAACAAGCACUAAAGGGUCCCCAACACUUGCAGCCCUGGUUCAAGAAACAUCAUAAAAGCUGAGAAAUAGUCUCCAAGUCAGACUCUCUGUUGCUCUGUACACCAGCCUUGAGACUCUGGCAGUCCAGAGUGGGAAGUGUCCUUUAGGCUGAAUCAACCUGUGGGGACAUAGGGUGACACGCUGGGUUGGGUGGGUGUGGAAGUGGCCAGGGCUGGGCCUUGCACAGAGCUUCCCUCACAACAUUCUCAGUUAGGGGGACGUCCCUGGACCCUGGUGGGACUGAUUUCCUCCUGGGAAGCAGACUUACGUUUGUGGGCUUAGAAGAGACAUCACAUAUAGACUGUGGAGUGAGGGGGAAAACCAUGUAAGUGCCAUUAGCUUAGCCUUUAUUAAGAUGUUGCAAAGUAGGAAGAGUUCCAGAAUGUUCUGUAGGGAGCCAGGAACUGAAAGAUGUGUAGGUAAGAUUGGGAAGGUCAGUCAGAGCUCACCUUGCUCGGGUAAUUAGGCACUAUUCAAAUUCUCAGGGUCUGAGGACACUGAGGUUGUGUUAGUAGGGAAUAGGAUGCAGGGGCUGCGAGUCUGCAGACCCUGAGCUGUGCUUUGGUGAAGCUGCAUUUACCAUUUGGGAUGGAGAGGAACAGUAGGGAGUUAAGGUCUUUCCAGAAUCAGUGGGAAUUUUUCAGUUCUCUGCAUCUUUCACACAACCUACUUGGUAAAGGAACGAGGAAAAGGAGAGUGAGGCAACCAAUGACCUUCACCUCAGGUGCUGAACUGUCGGGGGCCAGGAGCUGAGAACUGAGUCUGGGGGAGGGGCACGCGGCCAGGGACUGGGAACACCGGCUGGGAGCGGGGAUGCCCCAGAGGCGGGGUGGCUUGCUUUUUGGGGGGCACCAUGCAAGUCUCUUGGAUUCUGGUGCAGCCCUCAGGGUGGAGGGGCUGACACUGGAUGAGAUUGAAUUUCCCACAACCCAGGGGGAUUGUGGCUCAGAUUUACAGUAAAUAAAAACAGGGAUUUUUUUCCACACUUUUUUUUUAGGAUGCUAUUUGAUGAGUUUUGCCUUAUAUAUUCCCAUGAAACUGUCACCACAAUUGAAAUAAUGAAUGUAUGCACUGCCCCCAAAAGUGUCCUCACUUCCUCCAGCCCCUCUGUGCCUCCCCCCAGGUCCCUACAAUGACUGAUCUGCUCUGUCACUUAAAGAUUAGUUUGCAUUUUUGAGGAUUUUUAUAAAAAUGGAAUCAUACAAUAGACAUUCUUAUUUUCCCCUCUGGCUUCUUUCUUUCAGCAUAAUUAUUUCCAGAUUUAAUCAUGUUGCUACAGAUGCCAGUGAUUCACUCCAUUUCAUUGCCUGGUAGUAUUUCAUUACAUGGCUAUAGGACAAUUUGUUUAUUCAUUCCCUUGUUGAUGGACAUUUGAGUUGCUUGCAGUUUGGGGCUGUCACAAAUAAAUCUGCUAUGAACAUGUCGUGUAAGUCCUUGUACAGACAAAUGCUUCCAAUUCUUCAGGAAACUUUCUAGGAGUGGAAUGGCUGGAUAGAGGUGUAAGUGAAUGUUUAACAUUUAAGGAAACUGUCAAAUUGUUUUCAGAGUGUGUGUGCCAUUUAACAUCCCCACCAGCUGAGUAUGAGACUUGCACUUGCUCCACAUCCUCACCAGCAGUUGGUGGCGUCAGUCUUUUUCAUCUCAGCCCUUGUAAUAGAACUUCCAAUGUAAUGCCGAAGACAGGGAGUGAGAGUGGACAGCCUUGCCUUGUUAGGGGCAGAGCAUUCAGUCUUUCACCACUCUUAGUGGUUGAAGACAGUUGGAGGAUCCCUUGCCUGGCUUCUGCUGUGUGGUCACCUCUUCUUAUCACAGAGGGCACCCACACCACACAAGAAGAGAGUGCCCCAGGAGAAUCAGAAGAUUCUGAGCAAGCACUCUCAUAAACACUUUGGUGUUUUCACUUUCUUGGAUGUGGUCAAUGACUGUGGUGCCCACAUUUCACUGUUCCAGUUUCAACUCCAGCAGUUGAUGGAUUUACUGUCUUGGACAUCUCAGAAAAAGACCAAGCAGCAUUCUUCCUUACUCAUUAGGUACUCUAUGUACUCAAAGUACGGUAGAAGGUAAUUGCAAGUGUGUGAGCCUUUCCAAAGCUUUUCUAAGUUGAAAUUAAUUUAUUCAGUCAAUAAAUAUUUAUUGAGCAUGUUAUUGAUGGUGCUUCCAAGAAUUUAUCAUAGUGAAUAAAAGUAACCUGCAUGUACA